rnacentral:misc_RNA from 1 species
AACAAGGCGUACCUGCGGACCUGCGGAAGGAUCAUUAAAAAAACUUUGCCCGCGGACCCUGGGUCCAAGGCGCAAAACCCACACUAUGUGCACUGUUAUCGUUCUUUUGGCAGGGGCUUGGGGUGCCUUCCAACUUGGGGAACCUCAACUUCUCGUCUAGCUCUAUCCACUUCGGACAGCUGGACAUGAGAAGCAGUUACCCUGCCAAGUGACCCUUAAAAACACGCCUUUCGUCUGAAA